GUCGUGCCCUAUCCUCUUUCCCCCUAUUUUUCUCGCGUGCCCGAUCCUCUUUCCCCCCUCCACUCUUCCUCUUCGUCGCCGUCUUCUCUUCUCCCGCGUGACCGAUCCUCUUCUCCCCUCUCUGUGCUGUCGUCGGCCAUCAGAGGUUGCUAUCACAAGAGUCGCCUCCUCUCUUCCCGAUCCUCUCUAGACCUCUCCCAUCCUUCUCCCUCACGAUCUCGCUAGAAGCCAAGCACCUCCCCUCUGUCUAGCGUCGGUGCCCUAGCUCCCGAUCCACCGCGGAUCGAUCGGCAUCCUUAUCGCAUCACCUUGGCGCCACACGCCUUCGAUUAGGACCGGUGCUGGACAUUCCUCCUGUUCGCCGGCCACGAGGAAGACCUAGAUUCGAAGCACUUGUUCGCCGACCACGAGGAAGACACAGAUCCGAAGCAGAAAGCUUCCCUUCCUCAUAGUUGGGCUGGGGAUCCUCUUCUAACCACCACAGUAGCGAUCAGAUUUGGCUUUGGCUGGCAAUGUUGUUUCAUCCAUUUUCCCAACAGCAAGGGAUUUUCUGGAAAUGGGUUGAUUCAAAAGCAAACGGAUUAGGGACUUGAAUUCGAGACGAGCGUCUCGACUUGGGAUCUAUCGGAUAUGAUCUCUACUUUUUGAGGUUGAUACUGUCAGGAGGUUUCAGUCGCUAGUCCCCCACCACUGCGCGUUGUGACGAGUUCGCAUAUUUCGAUUUUCAUAUUAUGUUAGACUAUGUUUUCAGACUUAUAGUUUUUGACAUUUGGAUCUUGUAUGAUUUAGUUAUUUGGCGAUGGAUUUUCAUUUGGAUGUAUGCUGGAGUUUUGUGCUUUAUGAGUGUAGUUGAGUAGGAUAUCGAUUUUGUGCUUUAUGGGUGUAGUUGAGUAGGAUAUUGGUUUUGUGCUUUAUGGGUAUAGUUGAGUAGGAUUUUUGAGAUGGUUUAUCUUUAUCAUUGCAUUAGUUUAGUUUGACCCUUAAACUGCGUGGUGAUUGCUUAUAUGUUCUAUGUAUGUUCCGGCCGUGUGGGCCGAGGUAUCUGGAUGAUGUAGUAAAGAUUCAGAUUGUCACCCGUACAGGGGAGAUGUUGUCGAAAUUUCUUCUAGCAGAGACUACCUGGGGCGUGAUAAUAAAUUCAAAUAAAAAAAAUACAAAGCUUGUAAUAUAUCGUAAAUUAAAUAAUAAGGUUAUUAGACAAAUAACCUUAUUAGAUUUUUCCAGAAUUUUUUUUAAAAAAAUUGGGAUUUAAGCGAAGUCCGUAUGACUCGUUUUGAGGGGAUAAAUCGGUGGGGCUAGGUGAAGGUAUGUUUGGAUACCCCAAUUAAAGUUGGAGUUGAUUGGUUUAAUUAACCUAAAGUUUGAUUAAUUAACUUAAGGUAUAAAUAAAGAACCCAAGUUUAAUCUUCUCUUCAUUCCCUAUCCCGAUCCCCAAUUCUCCCUCUGUCAUCUUCGACUCGGCGCACGCCUCCUUUUCCUCGAGCUUGACCGUGCCAUUGCCACCCUGCAUCGAUCAGCCCGGUGUACACUUUUCAAUCGCCGAUGUCGCUGACACUCUCCCUCUCGCGAGUUUUCUUCCUCUCCGAGUUGUGCCCUAGCGGUGUUGUCUCGUCGCGCCACCCAUUGUCGUCGGUGGAGUAGUCCAGUGUGCAGCUAUGCGAUGGUCGGCCAACCACCAUCUCCCUCUUUCGAUUUGGCGGCAUGCCCUAGCUGAUUCAUUCACUCGACACUGGCAUCCCAGGCGUGUCCUCCUCACAUGCUACUACUAUGUCGAUCAUUGAUCGCCAAUGCCAGCAUUUUAGGCGGGUUGGUCAUCACCAAUGAGGCUCUCCCUCCACCGCCGAGAUAGAUCCAUCAUCGCUUGUGCUCUCUUCCUCCCCACUUCGAAUUUCCUCUUCCUCUCCCGAUCUGUCGUCGAUCUCCUUCAUCUCGAGUCCUACCUUUAAUUGCUACCGAGAAGACAUCAUUGGUUGUGAAUGGGGGAGCAAGACAACCAUCAAGAGGAGAUCUCUAUCCCCUUACAGAUGCAUCUAGGAUCAUCCUCGAGCCACUAUAGAUCUGAGUGGAGAGCUCCCUGUUCAUCGUAGCUACACUUGGGAUCUCUAUUGAGUAGUUAUGAAUCGGGUUAAGGGGUAAGAUAUGCUUAGUGUUAGAUUAGUCGAGAUUUGACUUCAUUCUCGGUAUUGGGUUGUGGAGAUUAUGAUUGGUUGUUCUUUGUUGUUUUGGUCAGCAUAGUUUGGCGAUGGUGAUCCACAGCUCCGACUACUUUUUCGACAGUAGGCACAACGAUCUCAAGUCAACAAUGGAGCAUUCAGAUUUAGGGUAUUGAUUCGAGACGAGCGUCUCGACGUGGGAUUGUUUAGCACGAUCGACAAAUAAAGGCAAGUA